AAGGAAUAUUGGACAAUGGACGGAAGUCUGAUCCAGCCAUCCCGCGUGGAGGAGUAAGGCCCUAUGGGUUGUAAACUCCUUUAGCAGGGGAAUAAAAAGGUCAUUUAUGAUCAAUUGAAGGUACCCUGAGAAUAAGCACCGGCUAACUCCGUGCCAGCAGCCGCGGUAAUACGGAGGGUGCAAGCGUUAUCCGGAUUUACUGGGUUUAAAGGGUGCGUAGGCGGACUAUUAAGUCAAAUGUGAAAGCUUGCAGCUCAACUGUAAGAUUGCGUUUGAUACUGGUAGUCUUGAAUAUGGUAGAAGUUGGCGGAAUAAAUCAUGUAGCGGUGAAAUGCUUAGAUAUGAUUUAGAACACCGAUUGCGAAGGCAGCUAGCUAUGUCAUAAUUGACGCUGAGGCACGAAAGCGUGGGGAUCAAAC
rnacentral:rRNA from 1 species